AGGAGAGAGAGUGAGGAAAGAGAAAGAGAUCAUUGUUUCGCGAAACAACCACCUCAUAAGCUAAAUUGUAAAACUACGAGACAACUUAACAACUAUUGUGCGAGUUAUUGUUGUCAUGCAACUCAUAAUAUUUCUUUUUUCAUAUGCACAAAUUAAGGAAUUAUAUAGCUCUACCAGACAACUUAUAAGGCAACCCAUUGUAUAGGUUGUCUGUUGAGUCGUCUCAAGAUUACGUGUUAAUACAUGAGACCGACUAUUAGAUGACACCAAUAUAUUUGUCCUUAGGCAUGCUUCUGUU
rnacentral:lncRNA from 1 species